GCAGGGUCUCACAACUUUGGCACUAUGGACACUGGGACUUAAUAGUUCUGUGUGGUAGGAGCUGCCUUGUGGAUUGUAGGAUGCUUAGCAGUACCAUUGGCCUCUACCCACCAGAUGCCAGUAGCAUCACUCACCCAGUUGUGAGAACCAAAUGUCUGUAGAUGUUGACUAAUGUUCUUGGUGGGGGAGGGGGGCUGCCCCUGGUUGACAACCACUGAUCCAGAGAAAAAUUAAAAGCUGGUGAUUAAGACUUUAAUUCUGCCCACAAAAUGCCUAAUUAACCCAUGCUCUGGCUGAAUCACAGGAGCAAGAAUGCAUUUUGACACAGUGUUAUUUGCCUAACCACCAUUGGCAACAUCAUUUCUGUGGAAACAUGCAUUCCGAAUCCCCAGGAACAAUUAUGAGCCAAUACGGCAGGGCUGGUUGGUCCAUCCUAAGAGAGUCAACCAAGCUUUCUGUAUCAAUGUGAUGGCUCAUGUGAAACAGGAGGCAAAGAACAGUGGGGAAGCAGAGAGUUGGGGGAAGGAUGGGGCCCUGCACCUCUGAUUUGGUCUUCCACAUGUGUCCGGUACAUGAAAACAGGAGAGAGAGACAAGAGAAUUUUUGGGUCUUUGCUAAGAGCACCGUACCAUGGCAUCCUCUGGCAGCAGAAGUGUUCUCUUUCUUUCCCUGGCAAGGCACAGCUGGGGAAUGAAAUGUGAAGGAGAGAACCUCAACUCAGUUUUCACUUCCUGUCCACUUCCCUCUACUGAGCUGGGAGUACCUCCUCAGGAAUGCAAAAUGACUUCCUACUUUUACCUGCCACAUUGCAACAAUAUUUUCAAUUAUGGGUUAAACUGCAAAUGCCCCAUGAGUCAUUUAAAUAAAUCUCACCUGUAUGAAAUAGUCAAUUGUGUUCUCAGAGCAAUUCCCAGCUGUAAAAACAGACCCACACUCAAAUGUACUUUUUUUCUGCAGCUAAUUGAAAAUACUGCACAUAUAAUGCAUGAGUUAAAGCACCCAGGAGGAAUUUCAAUUUGCAUUCCUUGUUUUAAGAUGUACAAUCAAAUGCUCUCUUAAAGUGCUCUACACAUUUAAGUCGAUAUUGCUUGCCUGAAGCCCCAAUCACUCCUAAAUUUUCACACUAGGAAUUGAUGACCUGAGGUUUUUAAUGCUCCAAGUGACUUUUAAAACAAUGGAUUUAAAAGAGCUGUGUUUCCACAAGAAUACAAACACUUCUAGCCUUGACAGAUUCGAACUUCAAUGGCCUAGAGAAAAUCCUCCAAAAGGCGGCAAGAUGAGUUUGUAAACAAAUAAAAUUCCAAAGGAAUAGUCAAGAAGAUGACCACUCUAUAUUUACAUGUUUUUUCCCCCUGGCAAGCAACCAUCCAACCAAGCAACCAAGCAACCAUCCAACCAAGCAACCAUCCAACCGAAGUUUGGCAAAGCUUAGAAACCAUCAGAAGUGAUAUGCUUGCAUUUCCAGAAUAAACUUCACUUGUUUGUAGUGUUUAAAAAAAAAAAAAGAAGUGAUAGGAAGCCCGAUUUCAAACAUGGCUUUAGUCACCCAGACACCAAGGUUCUUCCUUUAGCCUGACUUAAUUUCUCACGUUAAGGUCCCCACUGACGCCUUCUGCAGGGAUCCGGUGGGGGGAGGGGAGCUGUUCAGCUACUUUCCAGAAGAAACCUGUGUCCACUUUGACAAGAUUAUGGAAUGAGCCUGUUGUCUAGUCCCAGGCCUGCCUGUAUGGGAUAAAUCACAUAUCUGCUCUGUGACUCAGCCUUCCUCAUCUGUAAAAUCAGUGAUAACCUCCCUCCCCCACUCCUGCAGCACAGGCGGUUUUUUUUGGAGGAUCCCAUGAGACACUGUCCUGAGAAGUGAUAUGACAGCUCUUAAUCCCACAGAACUUUUCCUCAAAGGACUAGCCUUGAUACCUCCCCCCCAUCCAAAGCUAAGGUUUUAAAAAAAAAAAGCAAAGAAAAGAAAAAAAAAAAGGAGUGCCCACUGUGGCUCAGUGGGUCAAGCAUCCGUGAGAAUGCAGGUUCAAUCCCUGGCCUCCCUCAGUGGGUUAAAGGAUCAGGGGUUGCCAAAAGCUUUGAUGUAGGUUGCAGAUGAGGCUUGGAUCCUGUGUUGCUGUGGCUGUGGUGUAGGCCUCAGGUGCAGCUCUCAUUUGACCCCUAGCCCGGCAACUUCCAUAUGCUGCAGGUGCAGCAUGAAAAGAAAACAAAACAAAACAAAAAACCAAAGCUAAGGUAGAACAAGGAUUUCUGAAAUUAAAAAUCACGGAGUUCCCAUCAUGGUGCAGCAGAAAUGAAUCCGACUAGGAACCAUGAGGUUGCGGGUUCGAUCCCUGGCCUCGCUCAGUGGGUUAAGGAUCCAGCGUUGCCAUGAACUGUGGUGCUGGUCGCAGGUGCGGCUUGGAUAUGGGGUUGCUGUGGCUCUGAUGUAGGCUGGCAGCUACAGCUCCGAUUCGACCCCUAGCCUGGGAACCUCCAUAUGCUGCUGGUGUGGCCCUCAAAACGACGAAAAAAAAAACAAAAAACAAAGACUUUAAUGAAGGUUCUUCUCACUUUUGUCUAACUUCUGCUGUAAGAUACCGUACUGAGGAAGCCGAGCUUCUUUUUGUCAUGAAGUCACCUUUUAUGGGGGCAAGUGUCACCCCUACUUCUCAGAGUCAGUUAUGGAGAUAAUGUUCACCCACAGUGGAGCUGGUGAGUAGCAGCAUGGAGAUGGGAGGGCUUUUAUAAAGCUCUUCCUGUGUACACAGCCCUUUGCACACACCACCUUACUCGAUCUUGCCCUUCGGGACACGGUUAAGGUCACAGGGAUGCAGAGAAGUGGAUCAUCUACCUCACGUCACACAGCAAGAGGAGAGAGACCAUAAGGAUAUGCCCACCACCUCGAGAUGGACGUUGCCAGAGGUUUCUCCCACAAAGAGAAGAGAAUGCUCCCGUCUCCUACCUCCCCCUUGUCCAGUCGCUCUGGGUUCUCUUUUAUUCCCUUGGUCAGAGCUCAGGUCUGGCGCUGGACCCAUCCCUGAGCUUUGCCGCGCCCUCUGCUCCGGGAUGCAGAUGGGUGCUUCAGCGCAUCUGACAACCCUCUCCCACACUGCAAGACGUGCCCCUUCUUCCAGCAUAAAAGUCUUUAUUUUUUUACCUUCUAAAUGCCAUGUGUGUUUGAAUAAAGGGUGUCUCGCCAAAAAGACAGCCCUCUUUCCCAAUAAGAAGAUCCCAACACUUCUUCCCCAGCCUGCCCAAAUUUUGGUUGACAUGACUAUGAAAUAAACUUUAGACGAAUAAGUGCAAUCACAUGCAUUGGUGAUUUAGAAAUAGAACCUUUCUUUCCAUUUCCACCUUCUGGGAAGCAAUUUAAUCCAGAGCUUCCCCAGACAUUAUCUUCGUGCCUGUCGUCACUUUUUGAGUCGUCUAACAAUUUUCCUGAGCACAUCACCCACUUUCCUUCCAAGUUGCCUGUGAUACCACACUUGCCAAAUCUCUGUGUGACACUGUCAUGGAAAAAUCAAUCCUGAGCCAUGAGAAGCCCUUCCUAGAGCAUCAGAACAGGGGCCCUCAAAGGUAAAAAUAUAUCUGUGAUCCUUGUAGCAUAUUACUGAUGGAGUUACUCUUUAAAGUGACCCUUCAUGGUCUUGAUAAAAUUUCACUUGCCAGAGCAGCUACCUCCUCAGUAAACCCACUCCCUCUUCUCCGAACACAGGGCUGGAGCCUGUGCUGUAGGUGGCAGUCAGAAUAGGAACUGAAGUGAUGCAUGCUACGCUCAGCCUGGCCCAUCAAGACCUGCCAUAUGCAAUCUGCCAUGACCUUUUCUGUUUCCACCAGCUUGAUGCUGACAGGCGUCAUGCUCUUGGAAUCCACCUGCUAACUCAAGUGAAGCCAUUCAGUGGAAAGAGGCUGGGGCACUGAAUCACCAGGCUGGAAACUGACGCCCCCAUUUUGGCCUUUAAGCAAGUAGGGAAUAACCUUCCAUCAUGUUUGAGCCAUGGCACAUGCUCGAGUAUGUUUGUUAUAGCAACUAGCAUGACCUUACCCAAUAUCACACUCAACAUCUGGUGACUGCGAAGUGAUGACCUCAAGAAUGAUGACUAAGUCUGUAUUGGAUUCCUUUGCCUCCUUGUUAAAUCCUGUUUUAUCACGCGAUCUUUUGCAAGCAUUCAUAAUAAAUAUUGAAAAGGGGGAUUUCAGGCUAAUGUGCCUUUUCCACAUGUUCUUAUGAGGCUUGUCCAUCCCGUGCUUCUGGUGAACUCUGACCCAUAAACAUAUCAGGACCUUUGUCAAAUGGAAGAUUUUGUAAGAACCCUAAUAUACAGCAACUCCUUCUUUCCCUGAGGGACAAUUUCAAGUAAAUUUUUCACGUCUUAGUCAUGCACACAGUUUUUAAACUAUGAUACUCUCUUUUUCACAGUGAAAAUUCGACAUUGUAGUGCCUUUCAGUGACUCAUUAAGGCAGCAGGCCUUACUGCAGUUUUGGUCACUCCCAUGUUUUGUAGUCCUGAGUAUUUAAUUAACAUUAAUAAAAGCUACUGGCACGUAAUGUUUCAACCUUUCCAAAGUUGUGCACUAAAACUGUCAUCUUUUUUAAGGGUUCUGAUCUCUCCCCGCCCGGAGGACUUACCUCCAAGUAUUUAGCCAAAGAGAGCCUGUGAGAGACUGAGCAGCCAAAUCGGUCAACAGCAAUUUCACCAAAUUUAUGGCAAAAAGGGUUUUGUGAAGAAUACCAUGAAAGGACAAAGAAGCCUUGCAUUACCCAUGAGGCUGUCUGGAUAUUUGUGCUUACUGGCUAUGAGCCAACACUUCACGUUUGCACAGACUUACAUCUCAUAUGCAUGCACACACACGCGUGCGCGCACACACACACACAGGGUUAAUAGUGACUGAUGUCUAAGAAAGUCUUAGGUAUAAGGGCUUUGGCAUCAGCGAGGCUGAGCCUCUCGGGUUCCUGGAAAGCUGGGCAUCAAAGCCCUCCAUUCACAUGGGAGAAAACCAAGACCUGGACACAGCCUGUCAUGUGCCCACCUUUCCCACCCUCCUGGAGCCUCUGAGUUCCUCAUCCGCAGGAGGACCUCUGGCCUGCCAAGUGACCUAAGUCACAGUACUUCCUAGUCCCCUGUCUGGAACACGGGGACCACACGGUCUCUGUGGGAAAAAGAGAGAGAAAGCUGCCCUUCAUUCCCUCCCUCUUUAGCUUUGAAAAUGGAGCAUGCGUGGGGUUGGUGGGGGGGGAUGGGGGGAACGCAUUUUUUUGUGGCCACAAAACAGUUACUAAGUGCAGAGCAGGCAUUUAAACCCAGGUUCACGUGUCUCCCCGAUUAGGCUUCCAUCUAGCAAUGGUCUGUGGGUUCCUGCAUUGUUACUCCGCAACCACUGUUUUGCCUCAGUUGUUUGCUGAAAACGAUGUUUCAGAAUCAAAAGUCUCCACCGUGGGACACCCAGACCUGCAGUGACCAUCUGAUGGGCGGGGAUCUCAGAAGGAUGCUCCACUCACCUGAAUCUCAGUUUUCGGGACUCAGUUCUACCCUACAAGAGCUGUUUAGAUUCAAUAAGAUCAUGUAUCCAAUGUGCCUAAGAACAUCUGACACACUGAUGAGCCAAUGAUCUUUCACUUUGUUCGCCCCUUUCAAGCAUCAUUUGGGCUCCCCUGUGUCAGGUAUGGUGGGAAGAGCCCAGAAAAAUAAGAGACCACAAAAUCCUUGAGGUUUUCUAAUGAGGCAGAAAAGACACACCUAACUAGAACACAGGCAGAGAGUAAGAGAAAAGCAAAAUUUUGCCACUAUGUAUGUAAAAAAAUUCUAGACUAGUAAGUGGUAUACAUGCAUGGGAACAACUCUGUUUUCAGUAAUUGCUGAAUUAAUUCACAUCUGUAUGAUUAGCACCUUGCUGCACAAGAACUGAUUCGCUAGGACUAUGUCAGCAUCUCUAGCCAGUCUUCCAAGUUGCUAAUUUAAUUAACAGGUCAUUAAGAAAUGAACACAGGAUGGGCAAGAGACGAUAUGAGUCUAUUGGCCAAAUUAAUUUCAAAGAGAAAAUCCACACCCUUAAAAAGAAAACUCUUUUUAUAAUGAAGUCAUCACACAGAAUCUCAUUGGCAUCCCCCAUCCCACUGUCCGAGCAACAGCUCAGGUGUGGGCA
rnacentral:lncRNA from 1 species